GAGGGAAGGAGAGUGAAAUUAAAUCUGCAUACUGAAUGUGAAAUCCUGUUGCUCUUCUUUCACCUGCUCAUAGAUCGUCUUUGUUACAAUACAUACUAUUGUUACAGACUAGUGGGGACUCUUAGCCACAUGUAAGAUGGAAAUUAGACAUCAAUUGAUUCUUCAGACAGCUGAUGACCAUCAUGAUUGUCUACCCUUUUCAUUAGGGGCCUCUAAAGAAAUGAGAGACCACAUUAUCAUUCAUCAGAUUCAACACUGUUCAUUACAAGUUAUGUUGAGGUGGUGCUUCUCAAUGAAAUCCUGACACUUAUUCCAUUUUUCCACAAUGGAUUUGAUCACAUCGCUGCUAACCUCCUCCCUGUCUUGCUCUUCCUCAGUGGAAUGCACCUCAACAAGCAUCUUCUGUGUCAGUCUGGAGUUCAACAAGUUCUUCUGUCAUCAGCUCCUCCUUAUGGUCCUCAACAAGCUCCUCUAUGUCUGCACUGUUGUAGUCCAGACCCAUACUCUUGCCCAUGGACACAAUCUCCUCCAUUACCUGUGCAUCAGAUCCUUCAAAGUCACAUUCAGUGACACAUUCUGGCCACAGUUUCCUCCAGGCUGAGUUUAAGGUUCGAUAUGUGACAUCUUCCUGGACUUUGUCAAUGGGAUUAAUGCAGUGGAGGACAUUGAAAUGUUUCUUCCAGUACUUUUUCAGAGUCAAGGACAUCUCUUCAGUGACAUUACAACAUCUGGUGUAGAGUGCCUUUGUGCACAGCCUCUUGAAGUUGCAGAUCACUUGCUGGUCCGUGGGCUGAAGAAGAGGUGUCAUGUUGUGGGGAGGAACUUGAUCUUUAUGAAGUCAUACUCAGCAUCCAUAUCAUCCACCAAGGCUGGAGGGUGUGCCAAGGCAUUGUCCAUCAGGAGAAAGCACCCUUCAGGCAGUUGGUUGUCAGAAAGAUAUUUUUUAACGGAGAGUGAGAAUACCUCAUGCAGCUAUUCCAUGAGCAAUUGUCCUGUGACCCAGGCUUUUCCAUUGGCCUUCCACAUAACAGGAAGUCUGGCCUUGUUCACAUUCUGUUCCUUGAAUGCACAAGGAGUCUAGGAAUGGUACACCAGUAGUGGCUUAAUCUUCAUAUGAGUGCUUUUGUUCACAUACACCAAAAGGUCAAUCUGUUCAUCAUAUACUUAUGCCACAGCAGUGCCUUUUCCUUCUGCAUGAUAUAAGUUCUAUAUGGCAUCUUCUUCCAGAGGAACCCUGUUUCAUCACAGUUGAACACUUGUUGAGUGACACAUUCUUCUGCUUUCAUGAAGUCUGCAAAUUCUUCUUUGUAGGCUUCUGCAGCGGUCUUGUCAGAACUGGAAGCCUCACCCAUGUCUUAUCACAAUGUGGAUGCCACUUCACUUGCAUAAUUUAUCAAACCACCCUACUGGCUUUAAAUUCAUCACUUGUUGCACUUGUAGAGAGGUUUUCUUGCAGUAAAUCACUGUACAAUUUUUUGGCUUUUUCUCAGAUCAUAGCAUUACUAACACUAUCACCUGUCAGCUGUUUCUCAUUCAGCCACACUAACAAAAGCUUUUCCACCUCUCCCAGCACUUGUGUCCUCUGCUUGGCUAACAAUGUAUUCCUUUUGCCAUAUCAGCUCCCUUGAUGGCAUCUUUAUUCUUCAAAAUAGUUGAGAUUGUCGACUUUGCCACCCUGUACUCCAAAGCCAGAUCAACCAUGUGAAUACCAUGAAAAUGCUUUUCUUCAAUUUCCUUCAAUUCAAUGGUUAUUUUCUUUUAAACCUUUUUCUUACCAUUCUUGCUCUGCACAUUCUGGUUACCUUCAUUAUUGCCCUACACAUUCUUGUCACCUUCAUUACCACUCUACAUUUUCUUUUUACCACCAUGUUUACUCGGCACAUUCUUUGGAGCCAUGCUAGGUUGAAUAAUACUGUACAGUACUGUAUGUGCUAAAAAGCACACAAGCUUCACAGCAGGUGUGCACAAGUCUGCCUGUGACUGUAAUCUCAACUAGAGGAAUCCACAACCACAUGUCAGAGUGGGGAGGAUGGUUGCAUUUGUAUUUGUGUGGGGAAGAUGGCCAUGGUUGUAUUCAUCACCUAAUGUGGAGUUUGUGAAUGGAAGCAAAAUUUUGCCAAAUACUUCUGUUGGUGAACCAAGACAUACUGUAAAAAGAAAAGGAUAAUAGAGAAAGAAUAAUUAACUUAAAGAAUCAAUCCAGAAGGUCCAAUAUCUAACUCAUAGGUGUUUCAGAAAGAGGAACUGAGAAAAAGAUGGGAGGAAAUGACAUAAUAACAAUAAUAGCAUUAUUAUUAUUAUUAUUAUUAUUAUUAUUAUUAUUCAAGACUAUCUCUCAAAAUUGCAGUGUGUGAGUCUCUGGAUUGAAUGGAUGCCCAGCAUAACAAUGCAAACAACCCACAUUGAUUGACCUGCACCUUUAGUACAUGAGAAGUCAAGAGAAAAGGUCACUCUGCCAAGUGUGGCAGUCAUUUGUUACAAGUGACUGUGCAGCACUUGGAAUGGGGCUCAUCCAAGCUGAAAUGUGCUACAACUGUAACAGACACCAGAUUAUAAAGGCUCUAGUAUACACCAAAAAAAAUUACAAUGCUACACUAAUAAUUUAAGUAUUGAGCACAUGUUGAAAUCAUAUAUUUUUAACACAUUGGUUUAAAUAAAGCAUGUCAUUAAAAUUAA